rnacentral:hammerhead_ribozyme from 1 species
AUCCAGAUGGCGAAUCCCAACUAGAACGAAAUGCGCAUCAUGGAU